CUUGACAGCCACUUCUGAUUCAAACAAGUCACUCUGACUGCCCAGGUAAAAUCCCCUUCGGCAGUUCCGACCCGCCAGGUGAGCAUUCGCGGCUUUUGACAACCGCAAGGUGUUCACACCCGUUUCAUACCCCUGACCUCGGCUGUCACCACAGGACUUGAAACCGAAUCGAAGGAAGAUCUCACACCCGAAAGAAAAACCUGUGAGAAGAUGUUGCGGUGACAGGUAGGGGAGCUGCAGGUGAGCGACAGUCCAGGUAAGCUACAAAGAUGGCCGCCACGCGCUGUGACUAUGUAGGGCAAGCGUGUGGCCAGUGUCUCCUGUCACACGCGUAGCCAUUGGCCGGUGUCGCUUUGAAACGACCAAUGGUUGACAACCGUGCGCCAUUGAAUGGCGAGGGGAGAAGGCGCGCCAUUGACGAUGCGAGGAAAAAUAUUGUAGUCCCACAGUGGUCCGCGUAUGGUUAUAAUUAAUGUCUAGACAUAAUUAAUUAAGUCUUUAGAGAAAUGAAAACCUGCAACAGCAGAGAGCUGUUUAUAGACUGCAUGGCAAGUAGUGAUGCUUGUAUGCAUUCACAGGAUGACCCAGAGGAAGGGUCAUGACAAGUUCAGUGAUCUGUCUUGCUGUGAUCGUGCAGAUAAGACACCUUGAGACUUCUAAAGAGAGACAAGCCUCCUGCUGAGACCCCUGUCAACACUGAUCAGGAACCCGAGCUGUGUAAACACUGGCUGCACUGCUCAGUGUAGGUCUCCAUGAAUCAAAGACAUGGACAGGGGUCAGCAAGGUGUUUCUUCUUGUCAUUGCAGGUCCUUCUCAAUGGCAGGCGCCACUUUCAGACUUUUUCCUUUGCGUUCAUCUGAAUUUACUUCUGAUUUACUACUACAGACAACGGCCAUGAUCUGUUAUCUUUUGUAGACAAGUAGGUGGACAGGAAAUGUCACAGACAGGAAUGUCAUAAAUAUAGACAUAGAUGACAGCAAAGGUGACAUUGCCUUGUCAUUGUGUGAGAUGGAAAACAUAUCUAGAGAAAUAUAGCCUUCAACCAACAUUACAAAAACUCACUUUUUUAUUCUAUAAAAGACCUACCAUAAAAAGAAUGAAUAAAAUAUUUCUAUACACAAACUUCUCAUAAUAUAUAAUCAAGUAUUGCAUAUAUAACCAAUGCAUAAAAUACUUUACGGCCAUUUCGUGCAAAGCUACACUAAUAUUCAUGUAAUGAUCAAAUUGGUAUUACUACCCUACAGCUUCCCAUAGUAGCAAAUAAAUAUGCACGAAGACAGAAAUUGGGGAUAAAAGUCUUAGUCUUAGUUGCAGUGUGAGAUAAGGGAUAUAAAUAUACUUUCUCAUCAUGUAAAGAAGAGAGGAACAUAAAAAUAUACCUUCA